GCAAGAUGCGGCCGAAAGCGCGUCACGCGCCAUUGAAGAAGUCUUCUCAAAGUGAUUCGGCUGCUUCUGAUGCCAGUAUUCUCGAUAUGAGCAGUAGUGAGGAGUCCAUAGAGGACAUUGGAUCAUCUGAAUUCGACUUUGACAGUGAUGAUUCGUCUGACCGCAGCCCGAACUUUCAACUAGUGUGGCAAGGUUGUCAACUGCAUAUGGAGGCAAUAUUUUGCCAAACACGUGGUGCCGAGCCAAGUUCUCACCGAAACGUGCUCCCGGCGUACACCCGGAUGCGACACGCCGAGUGAGAAGCGGAGGUUUCUCAGCGCACUGGACAUGUUCAUGUUUUUUACCGCUGCCAUGAUUGCCACUUUCUGUGCACACGCCAACAAGUAUGCGUGGAUGAAGAUUUUUGAGAAGCCCAGCUAUGCUCAGCCAGAUGGCUCUUGGCUAGAGGUCACGCCCCUGAGAAGUUGCGUUUCAUUGCACUGUUGAUUUAUAUGGGCAUUGUGCAACUAUCUCGGCUCCAUUUGUAUUGGAACAUUUGAACAAUCUACGGCAGUCUACUCCCAGGGAAGGUCAUGAACAGGAAGCAUUUCCUGUCCCUGCUUGUAUUUUUGCAUGUCUCGGACCCUGAGGAUGAUAGUGCGGCUAGCUUCAGCUGGCAAAUUGCGGAAAGUAUUCCCACUACUUCAACAGGUCAAUGAGGCGUCGACACAACUUUUUCAGCCACGGGAAGCCAUUUCAGGCGAUGAAAGAAUGGUGAGAUCUAAAGCACGCUUGGGAAUCGGGCAAUAUAUUCGUGACAAGGUGACAAAGUGGGGGUACAAAUUGUGGGUUUUAGCUGAGUCACAAACUGGAUACACACUGCGGUUCUUCAUUUACACGGGCAAGUUAGGAAACACUGGGACCACAUAAAUUGACUUUUAGUGUAGUCGGUAAACUUUGCGACAAAUAUUUAGGACAGGGAUACAAAAUUUACGUGAACAAUUUUUGUACUUCGAAGCACCUUUUCAAACAACUCCUUCGGUGAAAAACGCUGGCAAGUGGAACAACGGGAAAAGAUAGUCGAGGCUUCCCUGGCGAUCUGAAUGAUUCAAAAUGGGAAAAGAAAGCUCAACGUGAAGACAUUUGUUGGAUCAGGGAAGGAAACUUCUUCUUUCUUCAGUGGAAGGACCGUCGGGCUUGUAAGUCUUGUGAGCACUAUUCAUACAGCUAAUGAACAUGUCCCUGCAAACAGACGUGCCAAAGUGGGCAACAAAUGGAGCGAGAUGACCAUAAAAAAGCCCUUGUUGGUGCAUGAGUACAAUGCAUGCAGGUAUGCUGGGCAUUGACAAAUCUGACCAGAUCAUUGGCACAUACAAUGUCCUUCGUAAAUGUGUGCGCUGGUGGAAAACACCGUUUUUCCACUGCAUAGAUAUUGCUUGUGGAAAUAGUUUUAUUCUAUUUCAAGAGCAUCAGAUAGGGCACCCUGAUAUUCCUGAGCUACGUCUGAGUGCCCGCUUUGACCAGCUUUCUUUCCGAGAGAUGCUCAUGAAGCAAAUUUUGAAUCUUGAUGAUCACUCAGCCAGCAUAUCUGCCACCCGACUGGGUUUGCCACAACCCUGAGAAGGUUGACAACCGAAGGAACUGCAAGCAGUGCUAUGGGAACACCAAGUUGCUGCAUGACCAUUGAGCUUCAGUCACCAUUUACGGGCUGCUUGAGUAUCUUUCGCUGGGCUUUUGUGUUUGCGAACUAGCACUACCCGAGUAUGGCGACCUUCGAGUACACACUGACAGGCUUCAGCGACUUUCUCGAACGGCGGUGCUUCGCUUUCGUCGAGCCGAUGCCCGCACACUCGGGUGUGCUGCCUCUGUGGUCUGGUGCCGUCCUGUACACUGGUGUUGCCUUGCGGUCACGUGUUCUGCAAGCUCUGCAAAGCUGAGAUCAGAAAUGAAGCGAUGUGUCCACAGCGUCCUUUCGACAGCUCGACGUCCUCCGACGCCAACCUUGUGACACUGAACUUCUCGCAGUGCGACUUGAAACAGCGUCACGUUUUGCAGCACCUGUGAAGUGCACCUUUGUUUUACCACUGCGCGUAACUGUUUCGCCAAUUGGCACAUGCGUCGGGUGUAAGGUCAAAGGUUGCCUGAAAAUGUACUUUUUUUACCUAGAGCACUCAAAUUUUCAGGAAGUGUACCUGGGGACACGGACAGUCAUUUGUAUAUUCCAGUUUUUUUUUUUUUUUUAUUCAGUGUAAUCAAGUACAGUGGCGAUUUUGUACCUUCGCAUGUAUGUUUUCAUUCCGUUUCUUCAACUUUCAGAAAUAAAUAUAGAAAAAUGUGG